GAUGAACGCUGGCGGCGUGCCUAAUACAUGCAAGUCGAGCGAACAGACGAGGAGCUUGCUCCUCUGACGUUAGCGGCGGACGGGUGAGUAACACGUGGAUAACCUACCUAUAAGACUGGGAUAACUUCGGGAAACCGGAGCUAAUACCGGAUAAUAUAUUGAACCGCAUGGUUCAAUAGUGAAAGACGGUUUUGCUGUCACUUAUAGAUGGAUCCGCGCCGCAUUAGCUAGUUGGUAAGGUAACGGCUUACCAAGGCAACGAUGCGUAGCCGACCUGAGAGGGUGAUCGGCCACACUGGAACUGAGACACGGUCCAGACUCCUACGGGAGGCAGCAGUAGGGAAUCUUACGCAAUGGGCGAAAGCCUGACGGAGCAACGCCGCGUGAGUGAUGAAGGUCUUCGGAUCGUAAAACUCUGUUAUUAGGGAAGAAAAAAUGUGUAAGUAAAUAUGCACGUCUUGACGGUACCUAAUCAGAAAGCAACGGCUAACUACGUG
rnacentral:rRNA from 1 species